UCCGUAGGCGGGUAAUUAAGUCAGAGGUGAAAUCCCACAGCUUAACUGUGGAACUGCCUUAGAUACUGGUUAUCUUGAGUUUUAGUGAAGUAGAUAGAAUGUGUAGUGUAGCGGUGAAAUGCAUAGAUAUUACACAGAAUACCGAUUGCGAAGGCAGUCUACUAACUAACAACUGACGCUAAUGGACGAAAGCGUGGGGAGCUAACAGGAUUAGAUACCCUGGUAGUCC
rnacentral:rRNA from 1 species